rnacentral:rRNA from 1 species
UACGGAGGGGGCUAGCGUUGUUCGGAAUUACUGGGCGUAAAGCGCGCGUAGGCGGACCUGCAAGUCGGGGGUGAAAGCCCGGGGCCCAACCCCGGACCGGCACUUGAAACUGGGAAUCUUGAAUAGUGGAGAGGUCAGUGGAAUUGGGGGUGUAGCGGUGGAAUGCGUAGAGAUCCCCAAGAACACCAGUUGCGAAGGCGGCUGACUGGACACAUAUUGACGCUGAGGCUCGAAAGCAUGGGGAGCAAACAGG